UGUCCUACGGGAGGCUGCAGUAGGGAAUAUUGGACAAUGGGCGAAAGCCUGAUCCAGCAAUGCCGCGUGAGUGAUGAAGGCCUUAGGGUUGUAAAGCUCUUUUACCAGGGAUGAUAAUGACAGUACCUGGAGAAUAAGCUCCGGCUAACUCCGUGCCAGCAGCCGCGGUAAUACGGAGGGAGCUAGCGUUGUUCGGAAUCACUGGGCGUAAAGCGCACGUAGGCGGCUUUGUAAGUUAGAGGUGAAAGCCCGGGGCUCAACUCCGGAACUGCCUUUAAGACUGCAUCGCUUGAAUCUGGGAGAGGUAAGUGGAAUUCCGAGUGUAGAGGUGAAAUUCGUAGAUAUUCGGAAGAACACCAGUGGCGAAGGCGGCUUACUGGACCAGAAUUGACGCUGAGGUGCGAAAGCGUGGGGAGCAAACAGGAUUAGAUACCCGUGUAGUC
rnacentral:rRNA from 2 species